rnacentral:hammerhead_ribozyme from 1 species
GUACAACUGAUGAGUCCCAAACAGGACGAAACGCGCUUUGUCUUAAAU